GUACGGGGGGAGCAAGCGUUGUUCGGAUUUACUGGGCGUAAAGGGCGCGUAGGCGGCACUGCAAGUCAGUUGUGAAAUCUCCGGGCUUAACCCGGAAAGGUCAACUGAUACUGCAGGGCUAGAGUGCAGAAGGGGCAACUGGAAUUCUCGGUGUAGCGGUGAAAUGCGUAGAUAUCGAGAGGAACACCUGCGGCGAAGCGGGUUGCUGGGCUGACACUGACGCUGAGGCGCGAAAGCGUGGGGAGCGAACAGG
rnacentral:rRNA from 1 species